GUCCGCAUAGCUUAACACCUAAAGCAUGGCACUGAAGCUGCCAAGAUGGCACACAAACCAUGCCUGCGGACA
rnacentral:tRNA from 1 species